GGGAAACAACCCAGACCGCCAGCUAAGGUCCCAAAGUCAUGGUUAAGUGGGAAACGAUGUGGGAAGGCCCAGACAGCCAGGAUGUUGGCUUAGAAGCAGCCAUCAUUUAAAGAAAGCGUAAUAGCUCACUGGUCGAGUCGGCCUGCGCGGAAGAUGUAACGGGGCUAAACCAUGCACCGAAGCUGCGGCAGCGACACUCAGGUGUUGUUGGGUAGGGGAGCGUUCUGUAAGCCUGUGAAGGUGGCCUGUGAGGGUUGCUGGAGGUAUCAGAAGUGCGAAUGCUGACAUAAGUAACGAUAAAGCGGGUGAAAAGCCCGCUCGCCGGAAGACCAAGGGUUCCUGUCCAACGUUAAUCGGGGCAGGGUGAGUCGACCCCUAAGGCGAGGCCGAAAGGCGUAGUCGAUGGGAAACGGGUUAAUAUUCCCGUACUUGGUGUUACUGCGAAGGGGGGACGGAGAAGGCUAUGUUGGCCGGGCGACGGUUGUCCCGGUUUAAGCGUGUAGGUGUGUGUUCCAGGUAAAUCCGGUUCACUUUAACACUGAGGCGUGAUGACGAGGCACUACGGUGCUGAAGCAACAAAUGCCCUGCUUCCAGGAAAAGCCUCUAAGCAUCAGGUAACAUCAAAUCGUACCCCAAACCGACACAGGUGGUCAGGUAGAGAAUACCAAGGCGCUUGAGAGAACUCGGGUGAAGGAACUAGGCAAAAUGGUGCCGUAACUUCGGGAGAAGGCACGCUGACAUGUAGGUGAAGUGAUUUACUCAUGGAGCUGAAGUCAGUCGAAGAUACCAGCUGGCUGCAACUGUUUAUUAAAAACACAGCACUGUGCAAACACGAAAGUGGACGUAUACGGUGUGACGCCUGCCCGGUGCCGGAAGGUUAAUUGAUGGGGUCAGCGCAAGCGAAGCUCCUGAUCGAAGCCCCGGUAAACGGCGGCCGUAACUAUAACGGUCCUAAGGUAGCGAAAUUCCUUGUCGGGUAAGUUCCGACCUGCACGAAUGGCGUAAUGAUGGCCAGGCUGUCUCCACCCGAGACUCAGUGAAAUUGAACUCGCUGUGAAGAUGCAGUGUACCCGCGGCAAGACGGAAAGACCCCGUGAACCUUUACUAUAGCUUGACACUGAACAUUGAGCCUUGAUGUGUAGGAUAGGUGGGAGGCUUUGAAGUGUGG
rnacentral:rRNA from 1 species